rnacentral:rRNA from 1 species
AUUGAACGCUGGCGGCAGGCCUAACACAUGCAAGUCGAACGAGUGGCGGACGGGUGAGUAAUGUCUGGGAAACUGCCCGAUGGAGGGGGAUAACUACUGGAAACGGUAGCUAAUACCGCAUACCAUCGGAUGUGCCCAGAUGGGAUUAGCUAGUAGGUGGGGUAACGGGUAACCUAGGCGACGAUCCCUAGCUGGUCUGAGAGGAUGACCAGCCACACUGGAACUUAGAGCCGGUCCAGACUCCGACGGGAGGCAGCAGUGGGGAAUAUUGCGCAAUGGGCGCAAGCCUGAUGCAGCCAUGCCGCGUGUAUGAUGAAGGCCUUCGGGUUGUAAAGUCCUUUCAGCGAGGAGGCGUUACUCGCAGAAGAAGCCCCGGCUAACUCCGUGCCAGCAGCCGCGGUAAUAC